rnacentral:rRNA from 1 species
GUCGAGUGCGCGGUUGUAGCAAUACAACUGGCGCACGGCGCACGGGUGCGUAACACGUGGGCAAUCUGCCCUCCGAUGGGGAAUAACCCCGCGAAAGCGGGGCUAAUUCCGCAUAACAUUCCCUGGACUCUGGUUCGGGGAUUCAAAGCAGCAAUGCGUCGGAGGAGGAGCCCGCGCCCGAUUAGCUAGUUGGUGAGGUAACGGCUCACCAAGGCAAUGAUCGGUAGCUGGUCUGAGAGGAUGGCCAGCCACACUGGAACUGAGACACGGUCCAGACUCCUACGGGAGGCAGCAGUGGGGAAUCUUGCGCAAUGGGCGAAAGCCUGACGCAGCGACGCCGCGUGGGGGAUGAAGCUUCUCGGAGUGUAAACCCCUUUCGACCGGGACGAAUGCCCGCAAGGGAGUGACGGUACCGGUAGAAGAAGCCCCGGCUAACUACGUGCCAGCAGCCGCGGUAAGACGUAGGGGGCCAGCGUUGUUCGGAAUUACUGGGUGUAAAGGGUUCGUAGGCGGUGUGGCAAGUCGGGAGUGAAAUUUCUGGGCUUAACCCAGAGGCUGCUUCCGAAACUGCUGUGCUCGAGUGUGGGAGAGGCGCGUGGAAUUGCAGGUGUAGCGGUGAAAUGCGUAGAUAUCUGCAGGAACACCCGUGGCGAAAGCGGCGCGCUGGACCACUACUGACGCUGAGGAACGAAAGCUAGGGGAGCAAACAGGAUUAGAUACCCUGGUAGUCCUAGCCCUAAACGAUCA